UCCAGGGGAUCUUCCCAACCCAGGGAUUGAACCCAGGUCUUCUGAAUUACAGGCAGAUUCUUAACCUUCUGAGCCACCAGGGAAGCCCCCAGAUUGCAUUAAUAUCCUUAAUUAUUCACCUGUCUCUAUAUUCUUACACUACAAGAUCACCUAACACAAAGUAUUUUUUUUAACCACCCCUUAUAUUUGGGUUCACCCAGUGACUUGCUUUGAUCAACAGGAUGUUAAGAAGCACCCAUGAGCCAAGGCCUGAAAAGUGGUUUUGUCUGCCCUCUUGCACCUCUGCCUUGGAACUGUUUAUACUUAGAAUAAGAGGUACUGAGUCUCUUAGUUCUUAUCAGCAGGCUAUGUGCGUGCAUGUCUGGCUUGUUGCGAUUCCGUGGACUGGAGACUGCCAGGCUCCUCGGUCCAUGGGAUUCUCCAGGCAAGAAUACUGGAGAGGGUUGCCAUGCCCUCCUCCAGAGGAUCCUCCUGACCCAGGGGUCAAACCCUCCUAUCUUAUGUCUCUUGUAUUGGCAGGCGGGUUCUUUACCACUAGAUCCACCUGGGAAGCCCCAUCAGCAGGCUGAAGCUGUUAAUUCCAGGAAUAGAGCAGCACUUCCUCCUGCUUGAAAUACAUAACUCACAGGAGUGCAGCUCACGCACACUGCCACUCAUCUGCCCAGUCAGCCACUUGGUUUGACUCACAGGCUUGGACUUGACUUUCAUUCCUACCACUGCAGCCACUGAUGAUAAUGUAACUAAUAAAAUACUCCUGGAGUGUCUACUCUACACCAGGUGUUUCCUUGCUUAUUGUCACAUAAAUGUCACUACAGGACAAAGCCUUAUUAGUCCAUUUGCCAGAUGAGAACUCCCUGGCUUGGACCAUCUCUCCCAGCCAAGGUCAGAGUUUUAGUAUUUCUUUCCUGACCUUGUGCUCCUUUGAGGCAAGCCAGGGUCCUUUAUAGCCACACCCACCCAGGUAGCCACACUCACCCUGCCAGAGAAGGUGUGGACAGAAAGUGAUUUUCCAGAACCUGUUACAGGUUCACAGCAAUGAUACAGGAAUAUUCUGUUGACAACAGCAUGCAGACUCUUUCUUUCUUUCUUUCUUUUUAAUUAUUUAUUUGGCUGCACUGGAUCUUAGUUGCAGCAUGUGGAAUCUAGUUACCUAAACAGGGAUGGAACCCAGGCCUCCUGCACUGGGAGUUUGGAGUCUUAGCCACUGGAGGACCAGCAGGGAAGUCCCAGACUACUUCUUCAAAGUAAAAUAAGAUUGAAUUUCCCUACUGGGUGGGCAAGAGGUCUCCCACUUUGGUGGCCUUUGGUUCCCUGCCUCAAUUAACCUAGGACUCCUGUGAUGGGCCCUUCCUUUCAGCUUUUACUCCGUACUGCCUCCCUUCUCCCCGGGAGCUCACCUUUGUGGUUGGUCCCCACUUCAGAGGACAGUGGCAGAGGCUGUAGAACAGACGGACUGGUGCUCAGUCGUGUCCGACUCUUUGUGACCCCAUGGACUGCAGCACACCAGGCUUUCCUGUCCUUCACCAUCUCCCGGAAUUUGCUCAAACUCAUGUCCAUUGAGUCAGUGAUGCCAUCCAACCAUCUCGCCCUCUGUUGUCUGCUUCCCCUCCUGUCAUACAGCAUGUUAAACUUGAUUGCACACCACACUGAAACAUCAAUAAGAGAAGUAAUAUUAAGCAAACCCAGAGAUACUAAGUCCGAAAAAAACAUUUGACUUGUUCAUUUGAAAACAAAGUAGAACUGUUUCUCAAAAAGGGCUGAGUCUAUUUAUUGAUACUUUAGGAGUUCUCAAUCCUGAGGAAUUAAUAUUCUGAGUGAUAGAAAAUAGAAUUUAGCCUUUCAGGGAAAAAAAAAAUAGUUCUUCGAAGUAACUCAUCCUCCUGAAAUGUUGCUUAGCCUCUGAUUCCAAGCCAGCCCCUAUACUGCUCCUGUCUGAUUCUAACUUGCAGCCUUUCAAAAGGCCCCUUUCCUUGUUGUUCAAAUCACACGUCCUAAAAUCCUGCAGCUGUUCACUCAAGAUUGCCGGCAAGAUAACAGCUAUAAAAUUCCAACUGUAAGAUGCAAAUGUUUGCACAUUUUCUCCAUUUUAACCUAGCAAAAAUAUUCUGCUUCCUUCCCUGCUUCCCAGGAGCCACUCGCUGAGGUUUUAUGACUCUUCACAAGGAAAGGAGAAGACCCUGCAGACCAGUUAUGCUCUAAGACCCUGUGUCUCCAUUUCUCUAGAACCUGAGAUUGGCCCGGGAGUGACUCAGCUUAGAAAUGCUGUGUUUGUUUCAAAGGACAGCAGACACAGCAAGGGCCAUCUUUGAAGUAAGGGGGUGCAGACCACCCUUUUGC